rnacentral:rRNA from 1 species
UACGUAGGGGGCUAGCGUUGUCCGGAAUCAUUGGGCGUAAAGCGCGUGUAGGCGGCCCGACAAGUCCGCUGUGAAAGUCCAGGGCUCAACCCUGGGAUGCCGGUGGAUACUGUCGGGCUCGAGUCCGGAAGAGGCGAGUGGAAUUCCUGGUGUAGCGGUGAAAUGCGCAGAUAUCAGGAGGAACACCAAUGGCGAAGGCAGCUCGCUGGGACGUGACUGACGCUGAGACGCGAAAGCGUGGGGAGCAAACAGG